GCAGGGAAGGAGCCAGCUGGGAAAUUAAUAGCCUGACCCCAGCCUCCUCCCUCCAAACUUCCGGUGUCCUGCCCAUUCUCUGCCCAAUGGAAGCUGGAAGCCAGAGGGCCAGCAUCCCAGGGCACAGCACAGGGUGAAGGUGAGAGUGAGUGGAUCUGGAGGAGCAGAUGAGAGGACCUAGGUGCUGAAGGGGUCACGUUUUGUUUAUUUUUGAGAGAGUGCACGCGUGAGCGUGGGAGGGACAGAGAGGUGGAGAUCUGAAGCGGACUCUAGGCCGACAGCAGUGGGCCCGAUGCAGGGCUCGAACCCACGAACCAGACCGCGAGAUCAUGACCCGAGCCUGAGUCCAACACUCCACAGACUGAGCCGCCCAGGUGCCUCAGGGGUGGCUAUUUUAGAAAAGGUGAGGGAGGAAAGCUGUCUCUGAGCAGGGCCCUGAAUGCAUCCAUGAGGCCAGCCACCCAGGGAAAAGCAUUCCAGGGAGAGGGAAAGGCAAGCAAGCAUGCAGGCUCUGAGGCAGGAGUGUCCGUGCCCCCGGGCAGUGAGAGGCUGUGUGCCUGCAGAAGGAAAAGAGGCUGGGGAAGAGCAGGGGUCACCUGGCACAUAGCCUCCCAAGCCUGAGGAAGGGCUUUGGGUGUUAUUCAGAGACAGGUAAAGAGGGAGCGUCAGGCUCAUUCUGGCCGCUGGAGGGGCAUGAGACUACUUGUCUUCAGUUAUGUUUGCAAAGUUUGGCAUGGAGCAUACAUGAUUCAACUGGAGGGACGGCCAGUGCCCCCCAAAACUGGAGGCCCUGAGAGAGCCAACAAGGCUGAGUGUGACCUCUCCCUGCCGUCAGUCCUGGACUGAAGGGAGAGGAAGGAAACAAACACACAGUAAACUCCCUUCCCCCAGGCGCUCACGCUGUAGUCAGGGAGACAAAGAAACAUGAGAACCUGUUUAACUCAAGAUGGGGGAACUGUCAGGAGAGGUAUAGACUUGAGGGCUGAAGACUGCCCGUGUGGGGUGGGUUGGCAAGUGAAGCUUCUGGAAGAGGCUCAUACUGAAACAGGUUCUUAAUUCUCUGAACGUCAGCUCACAUUGCGGGUGGAGGGGGCAGCCGGCCCGAGGGAAUGAUUUCCCAUGGACAUUCUCGCUUCUGGAGACACGUUCAAGACAGACAGACUACUGUCAUCAUCUCCAGAUACUUCCCUGGCCUCUGCCUCACUCCAUUCUUCAAACCUGAUGCCAGGAUGUUCUUUCUAAAAUGGAUCUCAAAGCAAGCCGCUUCCCUGCUCAGAAGCCUUCCAUUGGUCCAGAGGAUGAAAUUCAAGCACCUUCGCAUGGCAUUUGAGACCUUUCUGCACGCGGGGACCCGACUCACUCAUGAGCAAGUGGGCUCCUCGCAACAGGGAUCCUCGGUAAGCCAGAGACACCACCCUUUGGAGGUUCUGGGGGACGGUGAAUAGCUUGAAAAAGCCCCUAGAUGAUUUGGUCACACCUUCCUCCCCCACCUGUUGAGAACCACUGCAGCUGCUUGGGAUUCAUUCCCAUGUCUUCUUGGGUCUCCUGAGAGCAAGAGCCUUGCUCUUGCCCUGAGGUUGCCUAGGAUGCUCUUCUUGGCCUGGAAAACUCCUAGUUACCCUUUAAACCCCAGAUUAAAUGCCCCUUGUCCAUGAAGCCUUCCUUGGAGUUAAUUUCUCUACCCCGUGUCUUCCUGUGUGCACUAUUAUCACCACUGACACUUAUUUAGGUGCCCACUAUGUGCUAGGCAUGAUUAUGAG